GAGUGAGGAGAAGGGGGUGGAGGGAGAGAGUGACGGAGGGGGUGGCUGGAGAGAGUGGUGGAGGGAGACAGUGGUGGAGGGGUGGAGGGAGAGAGUGACAGAGGGGGUGGAGGGAGAGAGUGAUGGAGGGGUGGAGGGAGAGAGUGAUGGAGGGGGUGGAGGGAGAGAGUGAUGGAGGGGUGGAGGGAGAGAGUGGUGGAGGGGGUAGAGGGAGAGAGUGAUGGAGGGGAUGGAGGGAGAGAGUGAUGGAGGGGGUGGAGGGAGAGAGUGAUGGAGGGGUGGAGGGAGAGAGUGAUGGAGGGGUGGAGGGAGAGAGUGAUGGAGGGGUGGAGGGAGAGAGUGGUGGAGGGGUGGAGGGAGAGAGUGAUGGAGGGGUGGA
ensembl:lncRNA